rnacentral:rRNA from 1 species
CCCUUAGAUGUUCUGGGCCGCGCGCGCGCUACACUGAUGAACGCAACGAGACCACCUGUACCGAAAGGCAUGGGUAAACUUGUGAAAGUUCAUCGUGAUGGGGAUAGAUUAUUGCAAUUAUUAAUCUUCAACGAGGAAUUCCUAGUAAGCGCGAGUCAUCAGCUCGCGUUGAUUACGUCCCUGCCCUUUGUACACACCGCCCGUCGCUCCUACCGAUUGAAUGGUCCGGUGAAAUCUUCGGAUUGCUGGAUAGGACUUCAUUGACCUAUCUGCGAGAAGUUGCUUGAACCUUAUCAUUUAGAGGAAGGAGAAGUCGUAACA